rnacentral:lncRNA from 1 species
UAUGAUGACCGGAGACACAGCUGUUGGAGGAAAAAAGUUUAUGUCAAUUAAAAUCCUGAAUUUCUCUGAUCUGGAAAGAAAAACUGCUAUGAACUCUUUAGCUCAACUUCUUGAUGAAAACAACAAACCCAGUGAAAAUAACUGAAAGACUGGAAUUCAGAUGGCCAGAGUGGAGCAACCAUUUCAACACCCAAGAUAUUUGCUAAAGACUACAAAAGCCUUGACAUCCUUCAUGCCACACCACUUUAUCAGUAAACCCUCCAGGAUGGAACUAUUUACUGAAAUGCCAGUACUCCCCCUCAUUUUUUAAACUACAUGACCUGUUCAGUGCUGUCUGUUCUGGAAUGAAAGGCCAAUAUCCAAGUGUUCAGAAAGACCCGGGAGAUGGGACAAAGAGGAUGAAGCUUGGGCUGGAAGGCGACUCUGGGAACGGCUCAUAAAGAUGUCCCACAGAAUGACUGAGGCUUUGUUUCAUGAAUAGGUGUCUCCAUUCGGCCUUGAUGGCUAACCAGCCAACUGAACAAGUGUAAAGGGCCCAAGAAAGGCCCGUAAAACCCAUGACAUGAAAGAACAAUUUAGGAAAAUAACAACUAAGGUAAAAAUAUCAUUUUUAUUGCAUAAAUUGCAUGAGGAGUUGUGAAAUUAAAACCAUUUAUUUAUAAAAGUUAUUUCCUCAAAAAAUAAAUAAUAUUAGGUAUAUCUCCUAAUGCUAUCCCUCCCCCGCCCCACCCCACAACAGGCCCCAGUGUGUGAUGUUCCCCUUCCUGUGUCCAUGUGUUCUCAUUGUUCAAUUCCCACCUAUGAGUGAGAACAUGCGGUGUUACACCUAAUGUUAAAUGACGAGUUAAUGGGUGCAGCACACCAACAUGGCACAUGUAUACAUAUGUAACAAACUUGCACAUUGUGCACAUGUACCCUAAAACUCAAAAUAUAAUAAAAAGAUAAAUAAUAUUCAAGGUAUGUGGAUCACUUUUCCAUUUAUUUGACAAAUAACUACUUGUCACCGACUGUGAGUGGGG